rnacentral:rRNA from 1 species
CCUACCCUCGAGUGGGGGAUAACGUCACCGAAAGGGGCGCUAAUACCGCAUAAGACCACAUCCUGCAACGGAUGCGGUCAAAGCCGGCCUCUACAUGUAAGCUGGCGCUUGAGGACGGGCCUGCGGCCCAUCAGGUUGUUGGUGAGGUAAUGGCUCACCAAGCCUUAGACGGGUAGCUGGUCUGAGAGGAUGAUCAGCCACACUGGAACUGAGACACGGUCCAG